rnacentral:rRNA from 1 species
CCCGCUGAACUUAAGCAUAUCAAUAAGCGGAGGAAAAGAAACCAACAGGGAUUGCCCUAGUAACGGCGAGUGAAGCGGCAACAGCUCAAAUUUGAAAUCUGGCGUCUUUGGCGUCCGAGUUGUAAUUUGCAGAGGGCGCUUUGGCAUUGGCAGCGGUCCAAGUUCCUUGGAACAGGACGUCACAGAGGGUGAGAAUCCCGUACGUGGUCGCUAGCCUUUACCGUGUAAAGCCCCUUCGACGAGUCGAGUUGUUUGGGAAUGCAGCUCUAAAUGGGAGGUAAAUUUCUUCUAAAGCUAAAUACUGGCCAGAGACCGAUAGCGCACAAGUAGAGUGAUCGAAAGAUGAAAAGCACUUUGGAAAGAGAGUUAAAAAGCACGUGAAAUUGUUGAAAGGGAAGCGCUUGCAGCCAGACUUGCCUGUAGUUGCUCAUCCGGGUUUUUACCCGGUGCACUCUUCUAUAGGCAGGCCAGCAUCAGUUUGGGCGGUUGGAUAAAGGUCUCUGUCACGUACCUCCUCUCGGGGAGAACUUAUAGGGGAGACGUAAUGCAACCAGCCUGGACUGAGGUCCGCGCAUCUGCUAGGAUGCUGGCGUAAUGGCUGUAAGCGGCCCGUCUUGAAACACGGACCAAGGAGUCUAACAUCUAUGCGAGUGUUUGGGUGUCAAGCCCGAGCGCGUAAUGAAAGUGAACGGAGGUGGGAACCUUUCGGGGUGCACCAUCGACCGAUCCUGAUGUCUUCGGAUGGAUUUGAGUAAGAGCAUAGCUGUUGGGACCCGAAAGAUGGUGAACUAUGCUUGAAUAGGGUGAAGCCAGAGGAAACUCUGGUGGAGGCUCGCAGCGGUUCUGACGUGCAAAUCGAUCGUCAAAUUUGGGCAUAGGGGCGAAAGACUAAUCGAACUAUCUAGUA